rnacentral:lncRNA from 1 species
AGAGAAUACAAACUCCCCUAAAAUACUAAAACAUAGUGAAGGAUGAAGUCAAGAAUUCCUAUUUUUCCCAAGGGUCAAAAAACCAGGAAAAGAAAAGUUCAGACAAUCGUAACUUCUGGAGCUAAUUUUUGUUCAUUAUCUCAUGUUUUAUGGUCAGCAAUUCAGACUCCGGGUUGACAAACAUCACUUACCCAAAAGCAGUCGGCUGUGUCAGCUCAAGCCAAGGUUGCUUGAGAGAUUUCUGAUUCGGUUAUGCUUUGAAUCAACAUUUGGCCAAUGUCGAAAUGCCAGGAGGGAGCGCAGCUGUGAGCGAGACCAGUUUUGCUAGUGCAUCCGGCAGACUCAUAAGCUGUGUUUUUAUGACAGGGCCUGGGUUUAAUUUUCUUAGUUUGACAAAAUCUGACUGUCUCUGGCAGAGCAAUCUGUCCGUUUGACACAUUCUGGCCUCAGCAGAAUGUGAAGAGCAGGUAAUGCAACAGGGGAAUUGACGGCUCUAGCGAGCUUCAGCAGGAAGGGAGCUGACAACAAAACGUGCAGCAUUCCGGGAAGAGGAUUUGAAGGCCCAUUUUUUUAAUGCUUGAUAAGAGGACAUAUUUGGAGUUCAAGAUGAGAAGGGAGUUCCAAAACAGCAUGGACUCAAAAGAAGCAAAGAGCUACCAUCUAAAAGGAGAAUACCAUGAAAAUAAUCCAGAGGACAUGCUAAAUAAGCGAAGAGUCUUCAAUGUCUUUCCUCCUCACACUGAAAGCAUCCCUCUAGGUGCAUGACCAGCCUGCUUGGCCUUGACUAAUGUCACGUGUGUUCUUCAUGGUGAGAUGCUAUGAUCCCAAGGUUGGGAUAAAGCUUGAGUUCCAUUGGACUAGUGGUUCUUGGACACCUGUGUGCCUAAGUUUCACUCGAGGAGCUUAGUAAAAGGUAGAUUUCCUAGUGGUUGGAGGAGAGAAGGGAGCAAUACGAUACCUGGCUCUCUACCUGAUCACUCUAAAGUAAAACUUGCUAACUGAUGAGCCCCAUCUACAGAAACAGAAAGAGUUUAGAGAACACAAUCACAACAAAACAGAAAACCUUACAGUUUGGUGUCCACAGAAAAGUUUAAACAGAUUUUAUACUUAUAUAAGAUUGUUUUCUGUACAAAGAAAUUAAAGCAACAGAGGGUUGGAAAGAACUCUUGGCAAUUAAAAAGGUAAUUUCAAAAGAAAUGGUUGCACAUUUCAGCCCAAGAAAAUCUCCUAGUACAUAGAUGGAAGAGAGAGGAAAAAAAGAAAAGAAAAGAAAAAGAUAAGAUGGUAAAUCCAGGAGAUUCAACAUUUAAUCCAUGGGAAUUUCAAGAAAAAAUGACAGAGAAAAUGGAAGGGAGGAAAUAAUAAAAGAUAAAAAGAAGAGAAAGAAAAAGAAGAA